rnacentral:rRNA from 1 species
ACGGAAGGCAGCAGUGGGGAAUAUUGGGCAAUGGGCGCAAGCCUGACCCAGCAAUGCCGCGUGAAGGAAGAAGGCUUUCGGGUUGUAAACUUCUUUUAUGAGGGACGAGGGACGUGACGGUACCUCAUGAAUAAGCCACGGCUAACUACGUGCCAGCAGCCGCGGUAAUACGUAGGUGGCAAGCGUUAUCCGGAUUUACUGGGUGUAAGGGCGCGUAGGCGGGGAUGCAAGUCAGAUGUGAAAUCCAUGGGCUUAACUCAUGAACUGCAUUUGAAACCGUAUCUCUUGAGUGCUGGAGAGGUAGAUGGAAUUCCUUGUGUAGCGGUGAAAUGCGUAGAUAUAAGGAAGAACACCAGUGGCGAAGGCGAUCUACUGGACAGUAACUGACGCUGAGGCGCGAAAGCGUGGGGAGCAAACAGGAUUAGAUACCCUGGUA